rnacentral:rRNA from 1 species
UCUGACGCCCAUAGCGCUUUGGUACCACCCCUUCCCAUCCCGAACAGGACCGUGAAACAAAGCCGCGCCAAUGAUAUUGCGGUCUCCCGUGAGAAAGUAGGUCAGCGUCAGAC